CUAGGGUUUCGAAUCUGGAAUCCAUUCCCUUCAAAGAAUCCAAAUCCAGCGAAGGUUGAAACAAUGAGUGGGGAAUACAUUUUAUUAUGACAUCUUGAUUCUCAAGCAAUGUUGUUGUAGACGGAUUAUUACCCUUUGCACUUAUAGUAUCUUUGAUUUCAUUUUCAGAGCUCGAGUUCUAUUCUAAAAAAAUUAUUACUUGAUCU